UGGGCUUGACAUACUAGUGGUAGGGAACCGAAAGGGGGACCGACCUUCGGGAGGCUAGUACAGGUGCUGCAUGGCUGUCGUCAGCUCGUGUCGUGAGAUGUUCGGUUAAGUCCGAAAACGAGCGCAACCCCUGGGAGUAGUUACACGUGUCUACUCCGACUGCCCGUGAGAAACGGGAGGAAGGUGGGGAUGACGUCAAGUCAGCAUGGCCUUUAUGUCCAGGGCGACACACACGCUACAAUGGGCGG
rnacentral:rRNA from 1 species